rnacentral:rRNA from 1 species
GUGCCAGCAGCCGCGGUAAUACGUAGGGUCCAAGCGUUAAUCGGAAUUACUGGGCGUAAAGCGUGCGCAGGCGGUUGUGCAAGACCGAUGUGAAAUCCCCGGGCUUAACCUGGGAAUUGCAUUGGUGACUGCACGGCUAGAGUGUGUCAGAGGGGGGUAGAAUUCCACGUGUAGCAGUGAAAUGCGUAGAGAUGUGGAGGAAUACCGAUGGCGAAGGCAGCCCCCUGGGAUAACACUGACGCUCAUGCACGAAAGCGUGGGGAGCAAACAGGAUUAGAAACCCGCGUAGUCC